rnacentral:rRNA from 1 species
ACACAUGCAAGUCGAGGGGCAGCGGAGAGGUAGCAAUACCUUUGCCGGCGACCGGCGCACGGGUGAGUAACACGUAUGCAAUCCACCUGUAACAGGGGGAUAACCCGGAGAAAUCCGGACUAAUACCCCAUAAUAUGGGUUCUCCGCAUGGAGGGUCCAUUAAAGAGAGCAAUUUUGGUUACAGACGAGCAUGCGCUCCAUUAGCCAGUUGGCGGGGUAACGGCCCACCAAAGCGACGAUGGAUAGGGGUUCUGAGAGGAAGGUCCCCCACAUUGGAACUGAGACACGGUCCAAACUCCUACGGGAGGCAGCAGUGAGGAAUAUUGGUCAAUGGUCGGCAGACUGAACCAGCCAAGUCGCGUGAGGGAAGACGGCCCUACGGGUUGUAAACCUCUUUUGUCGGAGAGUAAAGUACGCUACGUGUAGCGUAUUGCAAGUAUCCGAAGAAAAAGCAUCGGCUGACUCCGUGCCAGCAGCCGCGGUAAUACGGAGGAUGCAAGCGUUAUCCGGAUUUAUUGGGUUUAAAGGGUGCGUAGGCGGCACGCCAAGUCAGCGGUGAAAUUUCCGGGCUCAACCCGGACUGUGCCGUUGAAACUGGCGAGCUAGAGUGCACAAGAGGCAGGCGGAAUGCGUGGUGUAGCGGUGAAAUGCAUAGAUAUCACGCAGAACCCCGAUUGCGAAGGCAGCCUGCUAGGGUGCGACAGACGCUGAGGCACGAAAGCGUGGGUAUCGAACAGGAUUAGAUACCCUGGUAGUCCACGCAGUAAACGAUGAAUACUCGCUGUUUGCGAUAUACAGUAAGCGGCCAAGCGAAAGCGUUAAGUAUUCCACCUGGGGAGUACGCCGGC